GUUUUGAAAACUUGAUGUUUUCUAGGUAAACUCGCCUCGACGCCGGAAGCGUGCGGCCAGUGUGACGGAGGAAGUGCGUAAAUCAUGGCGACGACGACGAUCUCCGCUGCCUCAAGGGCCGACAGAGAAAAAGAAUGGGACUUCCACCUCCGAUCGCUCUCCUCCAACGCCAGGGAUUCAUCCGCCGCCAGCGACCCUGCUUCCGACCCCUACAUCCUUCAAACCAUCAGGAAGAUCCACGAGAUAUCCAAAGAAGGAGGAUCUGAAGAGCUGGUGGCGCGGGCGUACCCGCUGAUCAACAAACUAUUCCAGCGAUGCAUCUCGGCGCUGCCGCAGUCGCAGACAUCCCAUGGAGUUCUCUUGCUGACUAUUCUUCAAUUUUUUCUUGAUUUUGGAGAAGUGGUUCUACACGAUGCUGAUCCUAGUUUAAAGACCUUCUUCCGUUCAUGCUUAAGUAGGGAGUUUGCAGAUCCAGUUGUUGCAAAAACUACAUUGGAUUUUCUCAAUUUGAACAAACCAAAGAUUUUGAGUGAUUUUCCAACCCUACUUCCACAGUUCUUUCCUUUACUUCUAAAGCUGAUUGUGUGGAAUGGGAAGAGAUUGGCGAAUGCAUUUAUGAUGCUUUUGCCAGCAAUGAUGUCAACUGGAUCGUUCCUUCCACUUUUCCAUACACUUAUGGAUUUACCAAUACUAGUUGUGGCUUUGGAAAAAGUGGAAAAAAGUUCUGGGUCUCUGGUUGGCAGCAGCAUUGCUUCGAUCCAGAAGAGUGCCGCACCAGAGAUGCUACUUGCUCUGAUGGAUGAAGCUUAUACAGGGUCAGCAAUAGAAGAUCGAGGAGGUGACUCUGGAUCUGAUGAUAAUAAUGGCAUAGAUGUUUCAGACCCUGUAUUUCUUGACUUUCUUAAAGAUGAAAAUGAUGGGAUUACUGAACGCCAUUGGACAUCUCCUGCUAUGGCUGCAAUAUUACAGGCAGCUAUAAAUAAUACACAGUCCGAAAGGCUAAAAGAAGCGCUUGAUAUGACACCUCAGUUCCUUUCUUUGUAUUUUUCAAUUGCAUUGCAAGAUGUUAGCGACUCAUUACUUUGCGCAUUAAUUCCUUUGGUUAUGUCAAAGUAUGCUACGAUGUUCCCUGACAAGGUCUUCUCUUAUGAGGCUCAAAAGAGACUAUCAGAUUUUUUGUUAUCGGCAUUUCAGCGAAGUCCUAGUUUUAUUCCACUUCUAAAGAAGCCCAUCACAGAUAGACUAGGAGAAGCCUACUACAACCCUGCAAAGACAGAGUUGGCAUUAAAUUUAUGUUGGGCAAUUGGUGAGCAUGGAGCUGGAGGUUCAUCCUGCAAAGAUGUAGCUCGGGAACUUUUUGAGAGCUUAGAAUUGCUUCUGUAUGAGAAUCUUUUAUCAAGUCAUCUGGGCUCGAGCCAGGAAUUAGAUGUCGAGCCGAAUAACGUGGCUUCCAGAAAAUCUUCUCAAGCUAGACUUCUUUCUUUUGUGGUGACAUCUAUUGCAAAGUUAGCAACAUGCCACAAGGAGCUACUUCCAAGGGCUCGGGUGUCUCUAGCUAAGGUAGCACGUUCAAAAAAUAUAGACAGGAGGGUCUGGCGGCGCGCUUGUGACUACUUAGGUUUAAUGAGUGAACCAGCAAUAUGUCUAUCUAUCUUGGGCCCUUCAACUGAGCAGGUCAAUGGUCCUGGAAUCAUCAAUUGGAGUGAGGGAGGAUCAAAGAUGGUCGCUCAUAUUCCAUUUUACAUACUCAGCGAACAAGAAGGUUCUACUGUUUAUCCCAUCCAAACCUGUGCGCCCGGCUUGAUUGAUCUGCACACUGUCUGACAGGUUCUACUGUUUAUCCCAUCCAAACCUGUGCGCCCGGUCAGUCUGAUUGGCUCGCUCAACUUGCCUAAUCAUCCUCGAUUUGGUUGACUUGCUCGGCAGGGCUUAGCCCAUCUAGUGCGUUUUGCCCAACUAGUCAGCUCUUCUCACUGUCUGACUUGUUCACUUCACCACCUGAUUGGCUUGGCUCGUGCAGUCCCACCCCCUCAGGUCCACCGUUUCAUGAUUUUUCAUUCGCCGAUAUCAUCCCACAAAAAUGAGGCUCUGCUGUUUAAACUAGAGAUCAAUUCCUGCUCGUCUAAACUGGCAAGGAAAAUCAGUGCUGCUGGUUAUGGGUUCGAAUCAGAUCCCCAUGAAUGCUAAUUUGGAAGAAACUCCCAACUAUAUGACUUGUUCAGUGAGGUGAUGUUAAACAUGUCAGCUGAAGACUAAUGAAACACUUGAUUCAUGUACCAGAGAAAGGGUUUUCACUAAGCUAAGUACAAAUAAGUGGCCGUAAAAAAAUA